CCCAUCAAAGUCAGUGGGCGGAACCACUGACGUAAACGGGCGGGACUAGUGCCAAUCUGGUGUUAUCGACUGCUUUGGUCUGAAGCGUAACACCUCCUACAUGACAUGAAUGGAUCAAGGAGGAAAGCUGCUUCUAUUCGAAAUAUGAUGAAAAAAGGGUUGUGAGUGAUUGGGACUGUAGCACUGUCAACAUUUCAAGUGAAAGGCUUAGAGUUUUAUCUUUAGGAAAAUGUAUUCGUGAAAUUAGCUUCUUGGCCAUGAAGUUUUAAAAGGAGUGGAUGCAUGUUGUCGAGAUACGUUGAGGAUGACAGCUGCCUCCAAGUUCUUCUUGGCUUCCUCGUUGAGGAUGACAGCUGCCUCCAAGUUCUUCUUGGCUUCCUCGCGGCCUAUCCACUAUAAGGGCUCCGGGAACCAAAUCUCCUUCAUCAUCGUGUUAGUUGUUUGACACACUUUCUCACAGAAAUAAAAAGGGGAUACUGUGACCAAACCGGCCUACUGAUGUCCAUACAGUAGCCCUACACAAGACCAUGUCUGUCACAUUGGUGCCAUGACCGAGUUGGACCUUCGCCCAACCGGGAUCAUUCUGGACAUCAUCUGCGUUGUGAUAAUCAUCAAAGCCUGACUGCCCACAACACCUGGAUCAGAGAGCCAGUCCAAUGAAAUCUGUCAAGAAAACCGCAGAUAAACAAGGCCUGUAUCAUCAUUGUAGUCUAGUACUACACUUUUAUUAUACACGAAGACAGAACAUGAGAUGCUUGUAUCAUUGCAAAAAAAAACUAACUAACUAUACAAUCAGU